rnacentral:sRNA from 1 species
CAUAGCAAGACCAAAGAGAGGAAACGAAAAACAAGAACCUUAGGUGGGAAAAUUCAAAGGAAAAUUGGUGGAUUUCAAGGAAUCAAGCAAUCAAAGGUGGUGAACCCUCUAACAAGAGUAAAGAGAUUGUGCCCGAAGAUCGAGAAUAAGAGUAUAUCAAACUCCUAGUACUGCAAGUAACCUUACCAUCAUUUUAAUUAUCUAAAGCAUCAGGAUAGUCUGUAAAUAGCUCAUUUCAUUGAGGACUACAAUUGGAUUGGCAUCCUCAAAAUAUGAGAAAUGAGAAGCUGAUAUUAAAGCCUUGCGGGGUUCCGC